rnacentral:rRNA from 1 species
GGUACCUAAAGAAUAAGCACCGGCUAACUACGUGCCAGCAGCCGCGGUAAUACGUAGGGUGCGAGCGUUAAUCGGAAUUACUGGGCGUAAAGCGAGCGCAGACGGUUAGUUAAGCAAGAUGUGAAAUCCCCGAGCUCAACUUGGGAACUGCGUUUUGAACUGGCUAGCUAGAGUGUGUCAGAGGGGGGUAGAAUUCCACGUGUAGCAGUGAAAUGCGUAGAGAUGUGGAGGAAUACCGAUGGCGAAGGCAGCCCCCUGGGAUAACACUGACGUUCAUGCUCGAAAGCGUGGGUAGCAAACAGGAUUAGAUACCCUGGUAGUCCACGCCCUAAACGAUGUCAAUUAGCUGUUGGGCAACUUGAUUGCUUAGUAGCGUAGCUAACGCGUGAAAUUGACCGCCUGGGGAGUACGGUCGCAAGAUUAAAACUCAAAGGAAUUGACGGGGACCCGCACAAGCGGUGGAUGAUGUGGAUUAAUUCGAUGCAACGCGAAGAACCUUACCUGGUCUUGACAUGUACGGAAUCUUUCAGAGAUGGAAGAGUGCCUUCGGGAGCCGUAACACAGGUGCUGCAUGGCUGUCGUCAGCUCGUGUCGUGAGAUGUUGGGUUAAGUCCCGCAACGAGCGCAACCCUUGUCAUUAGUUGCCAUCAUUUAGUUGGGCACUCUAAUGAGACUGCCGGUGACAAACCGGAGGAAGGUGGGGAUGACGUCAAGUCCUCAUGGCCCUUAUGACCAGGGCUUCACACGUCAUACAAUGGUCGGUACAGAGGGUAGCCAAGCCGCGAGGUGGAGCCAAUCCCAGAAAACCGAUCGUAGUCCGGAUUGCACUCUGCAACUCGAGUGCAUGAAGUCGGAAUCGCUAGUAAUCGCAGGUCAGCAUACUGCGGUGAAUACGUUCCCGGGUCUUGUACACACCGCCCGUCACACCAUGGGAGUGGGGGAUACCAGAAGUAGAUAGGGUAACCGCAAGGAGCCCGUUUACCACGGUAUGUUUCAUGACUGGGGUGAAGUCGUAACAAGGUAGCCGUAGGGGAACCUGCGGCUGGAUCACCUCCUUU